rnacentral:tRNA from 1 species
CGAUGCCUCGCCGGUGGACACGGUGGACCGCCCGGAGCGGUUCCUGGUGCGCAAGCUGGGGCGCGACUUCCUGGUCGCUACCGGUGAUAUCGA